AUUAGAUAAAUAUUCAUUUAUUUCAAACGCUUCGUGAGCGGGGGUGUAUAAGUGUAUAACACAAGAAACAGGAAGCCUUUUGUUGACGAUAAAAAAAGAGCAAAUCUCACGCUGGGAAGACGAGCAACAUUGGCCUACAAGUUCAACGGUGCGUGUAUUCUUGUGUGAAAUAUAAAUUUCACAUCUGUCUACAAAUUGCAUACGGAUCUUUCAUAAAGGACACUUGAACAAUGGACACCACUGAAAUACUUCUUGUGAUUUGCAUAGCCCUUAUCGGUAUCACCCUAAUACUUUUAAUCGGGUUUUGCUGUGUGUUCCGUCGUUUCAUAAAGUCCAAUGCAUUGGGCAACAGCAGGUAUACGCCAAGCUACCGUCUCGAAACCACAUUCACGAAUGGUGCACACGCAAAUGAGGCGUUUCGUCAGGAGAAAACGAAAGAAGAGCAUUUGGUAAUACAGAAUGUUGGCACGAAAGAAGAGGUUAAAACGGACGGAAAUAAAAAUGAAACGACCGUUAAAACGUGAUGACGAAUACAACGUGAAUAUCGCAAAUGAAAACGCUAAUUUGUCAAACAAAAUUCAAUUUUCUACUUUCUACUUAUAAGACUUAUAAUGUUAUAUCUAAACAACCUAGUUUAAUGAUCGUUGUGUUGGAAUCUAAUUUGAUCAUUUCAUAAUGAAAUCGUUGUUGACGAAAGAUGCAAGUUAUCUGAAAAUGUGAGUUGGUUGUAUCUUUGUUUAUUUUUCACUCAGUCUGUGCUCAAAAAUAUCAGACUAGCAUGCGCUCCAUAGAAUUUUUGACACUCAAUUUACUGCUAUAUUAUUGAUAACCUACAACGACUGUAUAUAUAUUCAUUGGAAUUGAUGUACAAAUUGUUAUAAUGUGUAUGAUAGGGACAAGAAAAUAUAUUUUGCUUUUGUAAAAACGCUGAACAAGAGACUACGUUU